CAGUGCGCAUGCGCGGAAUGGGGGCGGGACUCGGCCGCCGCCUAGAAGGCUUCGGUGUUUGCAGCCAUGCUGGUGCUGGUGGUUCCGCCGUGGCCUGCAGCCCGGGCGCUUCUCCGGAGCUGUUGGCAGCGACUGCAGUGGAAACUUCAGCAGAGCCGGCCAGGCUUUCCCAGCCCUCCGUGGGAACCAGCAUUAGCGGUCCAAGGUCCGGCUAUAUUUACAGAAUCAGCAAAUGAUACGAAUGGAAGUAAGGAGAUUUCCAGCCUUUUGGAUAGUAUCUUUUGGAUGGCAGCACCCAAAAAGAGACGCAGCAUUGAAGUUAACCGGUGUAGGAGAAGAAACCCUCAGAAGCUUAUUAAAGUUAAGCACAACAUAGACGUUUGUCCUGAAUGUGGUCACCUGAAACAGAAACAUGUCCUUUGUGGCUAUUGCUAUGAGAAUGUGCGCAAGGAGACUGCAGAAAUCAGAAAAGAGAUGGGGAAACAAGAAGGGGGCCCUUUUAAGGCUCCUACCAUAGAGACCGUGGUGCUGUACAGGGGAGAGACACCAUCUGAACAAGAUCAGGGCAAGAGGAUCAUUGAACGAGAAAAGAAGCGACCAUCCUGGUUCACCCAGAAUUGACACCAGAGAUGUUUAAAAAGGGUAACUUAACGUAAAACAUUUCUCCUGGAAAAGAAGAAGUUUUUUUAUUUUUUAUUUUUGUGUCUUAAAAUCAUCAAUAUAGCUUAAAACAUUCUUCAUAAGAUGUUUUGUGUGGGUAAUUUGAAGACUAUAUCGGGAAUAAAAUCAAAAUGUUUGUGCAGAGGCUCUGGAUUUAUAUGUUUGUUUCUAUUAUAAGGUUUUAAGUAAAGACAAAACAAUAAAAUAAUUUACAAUUCAUACCAAGA